rnacentral:rRNA from 1 species
UUGAACGCUGGCGGCAUGCCUUACACAUGCAAGUCGAACGGUAACAGGUCUUCGGAUGCUGACGAGUGGCGAACGGGUGAGUAAUACAUCGGAACGUGCCCAGACGUGGGGGAUAACGAGGCGAAAGCUUUGCUAAUACCGCAUACGAUCUAAGGAUGAAAGCAGGGGACCGCAAGGCCUUGUGCGUUUGGAGCGGCCGAUGGCAGAUUAGGUAGUUGGUGGGAUAAAAGCUUACCAAGCCGACGAUCUGUAGCUGGUCUGAGAGGACGACCAGCCACACUGGGACUGAGACAUGGCCCAGACUCCUACGGGAGGCAGCAGUGGGGAAUUUUGGACAAUGGGCGAAAGCCUGAUCCAGCAAUGCCGCGUGCAGGAUGAAGGCCUUCGGGUUGUAAACUGCUUUUGUACGGAACGAAAAGGCUCUGGCUAAUACCUGGGGCACAUGACGGUACCGUAAGAAUAAGCACCGGCUAACUACGUG